GACGAACCGUGCGAACGUUAUUCGGAAUCAUUGGGCUUAAAGCGCGUGUAGGCGGAUUCGUGCGUCUGUCGUUGAAAUCCCCCGGCUCAACCGGGGAAGUGGCGCGGAUACGACGAGUCUGGAGGGGCAUAGGGGGACCUGGAACUUCCGGUGGAGCGGUGAAAUGCGUUGAGAUCAGAAAGAACACCAACGGCGAAAGCACUCUGCUGGGCCGACACUGACACUGAGAGACGAAAGCUAGGGGAGCGAAUGGG
rnacentral:rRNA from 1 species